AUGAAUUUGAAAGGGGGGUUGUUGCUGGCUCUACUGAGCAUUUUUGUGCACACCCCCUGAUCUCAUCCACUUUACACCUGUGCACCCUUGCAUGAGUUUCUGUGGAAAGAAAAAAAGGGCCUCUUAAAAAAAGGGGGGGCUGCUUGCUUCUUUUCCAGAACUUGUGUAUUUUAUCACAAACUCUUGUAUGUUAUAGAAUGUAAUCACACUUUGCUGUAAAAAUGCAAACUUUGUA
rnacentral:misc_RNA from 1 species